CUGGGGAUGUGGCUCAGUGGUAGAGGCCUUGCCUAGUAUGCACAAGGCCCUGGGUUCAAUUCCCAGCACUAGG
rnacentral:tRNA from 1 species